rnacentral:rRNA from 1 species
UAUGGAGGAUCCGAGCGUUAUCCGGAUUUAUUGGGUUUAAAGGGUGCGCAGGCGGGGGAUUAAGUCGGCGGUGAAAUUUUGCAGCUCAACUGUAAAAGUGCCUUCGAAACUGGUUUCCUUGAGUGUAGAUGAAGUAGGCGGAAUUUGUGGUGUAGCGGUGAAAUGCAUAGAUAUCACGAGGAACUCCGAUUGCGCAGGCAGCUUACUAAACUACUACUGACGCUCAGGCACGAAGGCGUGGGGAUCAAACAGGAUUAGAUACCCCGGUAGU